rnacentral:rRNA from 1 species
AUUGAAUGCUGGCGGCAGGCCUAACACAUGCAAGUCGAACGAGUGGCGGACGGGUGAGUAAUGUCUGGGAAACUGCCUGAUGGAGGGGGAUAACUACUGGAAACGGUAGCUAAUACCGCAUACCAUCAGAUGUGCCCAGAUGGGAUUAGCAAGUUGGUGGGGUAACGGCUCACCAAGGCGACGAUCCCGAGCUGGUCUGAGAGGAUGCCCAGCCACAAGUGAACUGAUACACGGUCCAGACUCCUACGGGAGGCAGCGGUGGGGAAUAUUGCACAAUUGGCGCAAGCCUGAUGCAGCCAUGCCGCGUGUAUGAAGAAGGCCUUCUGGUUGUAAAGUACUUUCAGCGGGGAGGCGUUACCCGCAGAAGAAGCACCGGCUAACUCCGUGCCAGCAGCCGCGGUAAUUC